UCUCCCAGUAUUAGUGUAUUAUUAUCUAAGUAUGUCUUUACUUUGGUUAUUAAUUGAUUGAUAUACUUGGCAGCUGCCACAUUCGGGGCAUAAAUAUUCAUGAUUGUUAGGUCCUCUUGUUGGAUAGAUCCUUUAAGUAUGAUAUAGUGUCCCUCUUCAUCUCUUACUACAGUCUUUGGGAUAAACUUCAAUUUAUCUGUUAUGAGGAUUGCUACCUCUUCUUUUUGAGGAGCAUUUGAAUGGUAAAUGGUUUUCCAGUCUUUCAUUUUCAGGCUGUAGGUGUCCUUAGGCCUCAAAUGAGUCUCUUGUGGACAGCAAAUAGAUGGGUCUUGCUUUAUUAUCCAGUCUGAAACUCUCCAUCUUUUGAUGGGAUCAUUAAGCCCAUUCACGUUCAAAGUUACUAUUGAAAGAUAUGAAUUUAGUGUCAUCAUAAUACCUAUUCAGUCCCUGUUUUUGUGGAUUAUUUCUUUGGGCUUCCUCUUUCUUUUACAGAAUCCCCCUUAAUAUUUCUUGCAGAGCUGUUUUGGUGGUCAUAUUCUUUCAGUUUCUGCCUAUCUUGGAAACUCUUUAUCUCUCCUAUUCUGAAUGAGAGCAUUGUUGGAUAAAGUAUUCUUGGCUGCAUGUUCUUCUCAUUUAGGACCCUGAAUAUAUCCUGCCAGUCCUUUCUGGCCUGCCAGGUCUCUGUGGAGAGGUCUGCUGUUAAUCUAAUAUUUCUCCCCAUAUAAGUUAGGGAGCUCUUGUCUCUUGCUGCUUUGAGGAUUUUCUCUUUAUCUUUGGAAUUUGCAAGUUUCACCAUUAAAUGUCGAGGUGUUGAGUGGUUUUAUUGAUUUUUUGGGGGGGGGGACCUCUCUAACUCCCGGAUCUGAAUGCCUGUUUUCCUCCACCAAUUAGCAAAGUUAUCAGCUAUGAUUUGUUCAAAUAUGCUUUCUGGCCCUCUGCCCCUCUUGGUGCCCUCUGGAACCCCAAUUAUACCUAGAUUUUUCCUUCUGAGGCUGUCAUUUAUUUCCCUUAGCCUUUUCUCAUGGUCUUUUCAUUGUUUUUCUCUUUUUUCCUCGGCUUCCUUCCUUGCCAUCAACUUGUCUUCUAUGUCACUCAUUCUUUCUUCUACCUCAUUAACCCUUGUCGUUCAGACCUCCUGUUUGGAUUACAUGUCAUUUAAUUGAUUUUUAAUUUUGACCUGAUUAGAUCUAAAUUCUGCAGUCAUGAAGUCUCUUGAAUCCUUUAUGCUUUUUUCCAGAGCCACCAGUAUCUUUAUAAUUGUGCUUCUGAAUUGGCUUCGUGACAUCAAGUUGUAAUCUGAAUUCUGUAACUCUGUGGCAGAGAGUACUGUUUCUGAUUCUUUGUUUUGUGGUGAGUUCUUCCUUCUAGUCAUUUUGCUCAGUGUAGAGGGUCUGUAUGAGUGGGCUGCAUCAAGAAUAUCAACCACGACCUAAGUAAAUUUCACCCUAGAUGAUUCUGCCAAGGUCAGAAACCAGAAAUUGAAAACAAAGAUCAGAAUGAAAUAUAAAAGGACCACUAAAGUGAAAAACGAAUUUUAAAAGAAAGUAGUAAAAAAUAAAAGGCCAGGAAUCCUAAAGAAGAGAAAAAGAAAAGAAAAGAAAAAAAAAGUGGGGGGAGACUGGGAGAUGGUGUUGGUGAUGAAGUUGUAGUGGAGGGAGAAUGUAGUCUACCUGAGGGGUUCUAGAGGGUGAUCCUCUGUUUCUGAAUAUAUUAAGUUCUGUAUAUUAGAAGAUGCUCUGUCCCAAAUUUAUAUAAAUCAGAAGUAUUUGUAGAGGGCCCCAACACUGACCACCAAAACAUAAAUGAGGUAAAAGAGGGGGGCAGAAUGAGAAUGAGGAAUCUCAGAGAAUGAACCAGCAUGGUAUGCCACUUGGUUCUGGGUGCAUGCUGGUCAUGUUUUAGAAGGUAUUAACUUCUGCCAUUGUAGAACAAAAUGAGGCAGAGAAAAGAAAAAACAAAACAAAAUAUCUUGUAUAUGUCCCCAAAUUAAGUUGAGUAUGUUGAAGAGAAUCUAGAAGUGGAAAAUAUAUCUAGGUCCUGUAAUUGUAGAAAUAUGAUAGUCAUAAAGGAAGAAUCUUAAAAAUGAAGAGGAGGUAUUGUAGUUAAGGUGGGAAAAGGAAAAAAAUUGGAAAUUUACAGUCUAAUAUAAAAACAAGUUAUACUGGCAAAA
rnacentral:lncRNA from 1 species